UGCGGGUAAUUGUAAACGAUUAAACAUAGUAUCGAUGCCUGCACACAAGUAUCGAGUACAUAGUAUGCCCCUCACACAACUGACGUUGCGUCGAGUGCGCCAGUUCGUAGAAUUUGUGGCGAUUUUCUAGGAAACGAGCGCCAGAGCAACGUGCCUCGACAUGUUGCUCCGAUCAUCAGCGGGUGGGUCUGCGGGCAGCGGAGUGGAGAAGUGGAGAAUAGGAGAAGAGGAGCCGGGGGCAGUCGGCUGUAGAAAUGACGCAAUGUUUUUGAAAAUCAUCAACAGGCCCCAAGCAGCUGUCGUUUGUUUGGGGGCUUUUGUUUUGCUCGUCGCGUUUCGUUUUGGUUUCGCUUCGCGAAGCUGAAAGCAACAUCAAAUUGUAUACAUAUAAAAACUAAUGAUAAAUUCUACACACACACACACACACACACACACACACACACACACAAAGGGGCAGACUGCGAGGCUUUAACUUGAGCUCUGGGGCCCCCAUGUCAACAAUCAACAGUUUGCCAUAAAUUAUUUUCGCAAACAGUUCGCGCCAACCGAUGCGGCCCCAGGGAGCCAGCACACACACACACACACACACACACACACACACAAACGUUUGCAGUAUUGUACAAUAACAGUGUUGAUAAGCGACCAUAUGCACACACACACAAAUUCUAUGUACAUGCCCCUACGAUUGUCACACAAUCAAGCAUUGAGCAAGUUCCCCACCCGCGCCCCACUCUACGCAGCUCUCGAGUUUGAUAAAAAAAAAGUAUAUAUAUAUGUAUGUGGAGCUAUAUAUCUGUACUAUAUAAGGCGGGGUAAAUAAAACAGAGGCGUUAAGAACCCUGCUGGUGUCAGUUAGUAUUGGGAAAGGUUGGAAAGUGUUGUAAAUCAAUUAGCCAAAAGCGUUUCACAACAACAACAACAAUAACAAUAACUAGAGGAAGAAGAAGAUAGAGAAAAAACUAAGUCAAGAAACUGCGUCGCAGACGAUGCUCAACAAUGUUGUCCAAGUGCAUUCUGAAAGGGCAGCACGAGUUGAGACUGCGAAUGGAACUUGGCUCCGAAGGGGGAGGGGUAUCCAGUCUGGUUGUCGUUGUCGUUGUUGUUGUUGUUGUUGUUGUUGCAUUACCAAUAUGAUUUAUGGCUAAACAAAAUGCACAAAUGCUGUUACCAGCCAUUACGAUAGUCGUCUGCGAUUGCUGGCUCGUAAAUUACGAGCUACGAGGCGACUUCCCCCCCUCCCCCUUCCACGCUCAACAAAGUUCCGGAUGUUGCAACAACAGCUAAGCGAGGCAGAAGGCGUUGCUGUUGCAGCUAAUUUGUUGCUCCAAAGGGACAGCGGACAGCAGGUUUAAUGGAAAGCCAAGGAGGAACCCAAUAAUACGACUACCCUCAAUUAUUUAUCAUAAUUAAUAAACUAUAUAGAUUCAUCAAAAGCAAUAACUAUAGGACUAAGGACAAAUAACUGGAGGAUAAGUUAGACCAACAUAUAAUUACUAGAAUUCUCAUCGAUGAAAAACUCUAUUCCAAUACAGGAACAUGAAAAUUAGUAGCAGAAACAUAAAUCAAUUAAACAAAAGUAUUCAGCAAUAUCCGAUAUCGAAAAGGAAAUUAUUUUUUAUAUUUUUGUAGGAACGACAAAUAGGAACCACUCCGAACAAAAGAUCUAGUUCCAUAAGCAGCUCAGAAUCCGACUCAGAGUUUCUCAGUGCUUCCCAGAGUUCCUAGAUUUAUUUAAGCAUUUCGCUUAAACAAAACCCACAAUCUCUUAAUAUUGAUAAAAGUCUUUAAAUUUUACAAAUACUUUAAGCUGGCGACCGCUUCAGAUUUUGGUUUUCAAACUGAGAGACAAGUUUUGACGCUUUUUGCCGUUUAGCUAUUCAUAUUUUUAUAUUUUUUAUUUAUUUACUUAUUUUUUGCCAGCUGUCUUAUAAGCCGACAUAAUAGCUUUAAAAUUAUAAGAAAUAAUUAAAGGCCCAUUAAAUUCAUGAGACUAAUAAUGGCAGAAGCCGAACAAUAGCACAGCAUUCAAAUCAAAUUGCCCAGAAAAUAAAACUGAAAAACAAAAGAGAACCAACCAAAAAUAAAAAAAAUAAAUAAAAAAAAAUGGGAGAAGUAAAAAAUAAAAAUCAUUAAAUGCACGAAAUGGCAGAGAAAUGUGCCAGGGCCAUUAAGAAUUACGGCCAUAUACUGGCCCAAA